CCCGGGGCGAUCACCCCUCCCCGGCCCGCACCCCGCAGGCGCCCCUGGGAGCGGACGCACAACUCACCGUCCAGGUGGCCGACUUGGCUGUGCUCGACUGCUGGAAGGUCACUGCUUGUGUUGGGAUAAACUGACAUAUUCACCUCGCCUCCCCCCUCCAUCGGCUCCCGGUGCCAGGGUUUCCGGGGCUCCACCAAGCACACCUGGAGGGAGCUGCUGGUGGGGGUGGCUCCCGGCCCUCCGGACCCUCUCACAGGCCAGCAGACUCAGCGGCACUCUCCAGGGGGCGGUAUCCAGCCGGACACCCUCGCCUCCCACCCUGUGUUCCAGCCAGAAGCGGGGAGACCCCAGGCCCAGGGAGCCCAACUGUGGGAGAGGCGGGCCCGGCAGAGGGUGGCCCCAGCGUGUGGGGCCCAUAGUCCCCUCCUACUGGUCCACAUCCUAACCCUAACCCGGGAGCCCAGCCCCUCCCCACCCCACCCCCACACAGGAGGAACAGGGACUCUAAGCUGUACUGUGUGUGUGCACCCCCAGCUCACCCCCUUGGGGUCCCGGGACCCCGAGAUGGGCCAGCCCCUGCCUGGGGCUUGAGGAGGCCCCAGCAAGGGGACCAGCCCAAUCUAGGGCAGAUCAGACUCCUCCUGGAGGGCCGGCAAGGAAGACGCCUUUCCCAAUCUGGAGGCUUCGAGCGGCAGGAGCCCGAGGUGGACACUGCCAUUAUCGCGUUUCACAGACGGGUACACUGAGGCACGUAGAGGGAGUGACCGGCCUGGGGUGAGCCAGUGGCCCCGAGAGCCCCGGACACGGGUGGGGAUGGUGGGAACUGCGGGCAGAGGGCCUGGGGUCCCCCUGGGGGGCAGGGACAGACCAGCAGCAAGCGUGGGGUGGGGGGCUUGCCCUGCAGCCCCCGCCUCACCAGCCUGCCUUCUCCAAAUUGCAAAGCACAGGGGUGCAUCCCCCAGGGUGACCGGCUGUUCAGCCCCUCUCUGCCUCCUCCAUCAGGAGAGAGGUGUGCAUAACCCAGAGCCCCUCCAGCUCAGCAUCCAUCUGGAAAGCACACGUUCCCCCAUCGGGCCUGCUGGUGACAAGGGUCCUUGGAGCCUCUACUGAAGACUGCCAGUCUGAAGGAAGCUUACCACAAGGGCUGAUGGAGCACAAGAAGGUGACAGGUGGCCAUGGCUUCGUGGCUCCUGGAGCCCAGGAUGCUCCAGCCCGCAGGGGACAGCCACCUGAGCCCCCCCCCGCCCCCCCCCCCCGGCUGAAACUGCCAUCGGACGGACCCCUCGGGUGGGCCUCAGGCCUUUUCCGUUUGGACCUCUGGAGCCGUGGCCCGCUGUGAACCUGGGGAAGGGCCGGCAGCGGGACAGGGGGGCAGCGGACAGGGGACCCCUGCAGGGCAACCGCAGAGGCCUCCUUCCCCGCUCUGGCUCCCCACAGCCUUCUGUGCCUUCACCUGUCAACCUGGGAGGCCCCGGCACCCAGAUGAGCAAACUGUGGGGUCCGUCUGAGGGAGCAGUGGGACACAACCAUUCCGGCGUCAGACACGCCCUACGGGGAGUGCCACCAGCGAGGGCACAAAGCCAGCCACAGACACGAGUAUGCCUGCCGUGGGGUCCCCGCUGACGGCCGGCCGAGUCCAGCCAGAGGCAGAGCAGUUGGCCACCAGGGCCUGGGUGGGGCUGGGGGCAGAGGCUAAGGGGCAGCUGGUUUCCUUUGGAGGUGAUGAAGAGGUUCUAAAAUUCACCGUCAGGGCGGGUACACACAGCUGUGAAUAUACGAAAACCCACUGAAUUGCACACUUGAAAUGGGUGAAUUGUGUGUCAGGUAAAAUGUAAGUCAAUCAAGCUGUUUAAAACAAAACAACUGGGGACCGGCUCCUCCCCUCUCCUGGC